GGGAGGGAUUUCUGCUGACUGAAAUGCUAUAAAUGUAUCUUUCAGGUUUUAGGGCAAAUCAGACGCAAAAUGGCAGAAGGGAAUUCUGGAAGAGGAAUGAAGGGCAGUUCAUCUAGUACUGACCCAGAGAAACCUUUGACAGGAAAAAAAAGUACAACCAGGUCAGGCAAGCAAAGCAGAGAAAAGAAUGAGUGCAUUAGCAGGGAAGAAGGAGACGACAAGCCUCAGGAUAUCCAUUUAAACCGGGGCAAAUCAGUAAAUGGAAGGAGACAACCCAGUACUAAAGCAGAAUCAGGUGACAAGAAGCAAGGGAAACUUAAAAAGGAAGACACUAAAGCGUCAACUCAAACUAGGGCAAUGGGAACAAUACCACGGACACACAGCAGAAAGAAGACCACCAAGGAGUCUACUGAUUCUCCUAAAUUUGAAGAUAGUGUGGCAAAACCAUUCAGCACUCAAAGAAAGAGUAGCAAGGUAUCUACAGACAUGGCAUCACAACCCCAAACAAAUCAGGAGACACCCAUUCCAUCUCGUGAAAGUCGUAGAAGACUAAAAGAUGUAUUGAAGAAACUGAAACUAAAAAUGGAUGAAAUUUCAGCUGCAGCUCAGAUAGUGAAUAAUACUAUAGAUAACAUUCUCAAGUCUGCCUGUUUGAAAGAACAUCCUAUAUUUAAGAAUAUUUUAAAAAUGAAUACUGGAAGCUACUUUGAAGGGC